rnacentral:rRNA from 1 species
CAACAGGGAUUGCCUCAGUAACGGCGAGUGAAGCGGCAACAGCUCAAAUUUGAAAUCUGGCCCCCCGGGUCCGAGUUGUAAUUUGCAGAGGAUGCUUUUGGCGCGGUGCCUUCCGAGUUCCCUGGAACGGGACGCCAUAGAGGGUGAGAGCCCCGUACGGUUGGACACCAAGCCUAUGUAAAGCUCCUUCGACGAGUCGAGUAGUUUGGGAAUGCUGCUCAAAAUGGGAGGUAUAUUUCUUCUAAAGCUAAAUACCGGCCAGAGACCGAUAGCGCACAAGUAGAGUGAUCGAAAGAUGAAAAGCACUUUGAAAAGAGGGUUAAACAGCACGUGAAAUUGUUAAAAGGGAAGCGCUUGUGACCAGACUUGCGUCCGGUGAAUCACCCAGCUCUCGCGGCUGGGGCACUUUGCCGGCUCAGGCCAGCAUCAGCUUGCCGUCGGGGACAAAAGCUUCGGGAACGUAGCUCUCUUCGGGGAGUGUUAUAGCCCGUUGCACAAUACCCUUCGGCGGGCUGAGGUACGCGCUCCGCAAGGAUGCUGGCGUAAUGGUCAUCAGCGACCCGUCUUGAAACACGGACCAAGGAGUCAACCUUAUGUGCGAGUGUUCGGGUGUCAAACCCCUACGCGUAAUGAAAGUGAACGCAGGUGAGAGCUUCGGCGCAUCAUCGACCGAUCCUGAUGUUCUCGGAUGGAUUUGAGUAAGAGCAUAUAGGGUUGGACCCGAAAGAAGGUGAACUAUGCGUGUAUAGGGUGAAGCCAGAGGAAACUCUGGUGGAGGCUCGCAGCGGUUCUGACGUGCAAAUCGAUCGUCAAAUAUGCGCAU